AUUGAACGCUGGCGGCAGGCCUAACACAUGCAAGUCGAACGGUAACAGGAAGAUGCUUGCUUCUUUGCUGACGAGUGGCGGACGGGUGGGGAAUGUCCUGGAAACUGCCUGAUGGAGGGGGAUAACUACUGGAAACGGUAGCUAAUACCACAUAACGUCGCAAGACCGAAGAGGGGGACCUUCGGGCGUCUUGCCUGCAGAUGUGCCCAGAUGGGUUUGGCUAGUAGGUGGGGUAACGGCUCACCUAGUCGACGAUCCCUAGCUGGACUGAGAGGAUGACCAGCCGCACGGGAACUGGGCCACGGUCCAGACUCCUACGGGAGGCAGCAGUGGGGAAUAUUGGACAAUGGGCGCAAGCCUGAUGCAGUCAUGCCGCGUGUAUGAAGAAGGCCUUCGGGUUGUAAAGUACUUUUAGCGGGGAGGAAGCGAGUAAAGUUAAUACCUUUACUCAUUGACGUUACCCUCAGAAGAAGCACCGGCUAACUCCGUG
rnacentral:rRNA from 1 species